rnacentral:rRNA from 1 species
CAGUCGCCACGGGAAUACGAAGGGUGCAAGCGUUGAUCGGAAUUACUGGGCGUAAAGCGUGCGUAGGCGGUGAGUUAAGUCUGCUGUGAAAUCCCCGGGCUCAACCUGGGAAUGGCAAUGGAUACUGGCAAGCUAGAGUGUGUCAGAGGAUGGUGGAAUUCCCGGUGUAGUGGUGAAAUGCGUAGAGAUCGGGAGGAACAUCAGUGGCGAAGGCGACUGACUGGACAAGUAUUGACGCUGAGGUGCGAAAGCGUGGGGAGCAAACAGGAUUAGAUACCCCAGUAGUCCCUGUCUCUUAACA